rnacentral:rRNA from 1 species
UACGUAGGUGGCGAGCGUUGUCCGGAAUUACUGGGCGUAAAGCGUGCGCAGGCGGCUUUGCAAGACAGAUGUGAAAUCCCCGGGCUUAACCUGGGAACUGCAUUUGUGACUGCAUGGCUGGAGUGCGGCAGAGGGGGAUGGAAUUCCGCGUGUAGCAGUGAAAUGCGUAGAUAUGCGGAGGAACACCGAUGGCGAAGGCAAUCCCCUGGGCCUGCACUGACGCUCAUGCACGAAAGCGUGGGGAGCAAACAGG